UCUGGUAUGAGAACAGGCCACUUGGCUUUCUGCAUUACCCUUUCUUAUUGCAUAAUCAUUGUACACAGUUAUAAUAAGUCAUUUUUGUAAAAAUAGAUCUUGGAAGGAAAGUUCUUACUGAAUCCCUUAUAACCUCAGGGAUUCAGUUAUAGCAGACUGAAUCAUGUCCCCAGAUACCUAUUGACAGUGUGGCCUCUGGGUAGACAAGGAAACCCAUGAUGCAAAGGUAAAUUCUGUUACAAUGGGGUCAGUGACUCCCUGUGAACCAGACUCCUAAUUGAGACUCAAAACCUUUCAUUGGAAAGCUUCUUUUUUCCUUUCAGCUAUCAUGAUCUGUGUGUAUCCCAGCCAUCGUUUUAAAAUGAUGCUCUGAAAAUCACUUGGACACCUUGAAAAUCAGUGGGGAAAACUUUGGCUUCAUGGGUAAAUGUUGUGGAGGCCUUGUGCUCAAAUGCAGGGCAACAGAGGUCAUGGUCUUAGGAAUCUAGUCUUGCUGAGCUGAAACUUGCAGGGGUUUUACUCAAAGAGAUGAAAUGCCCUUCAGUGAAGGCCUGGGAACCUGGAGGGAGUCCCUGUCAUCUAGUUGCUUCAGAGGUGAUCUAAUGACUCGAACUUGCACAAGCCACCUGUGACUGUAUGUACAUUUUUCUCUUCUUCCGUUCCACUCUCAGAUUUUAAGUACCUCAAAAUAAGAGCUUUUGUCCCCAUGGUAUCUGAUUAAAAAACAAAACAAAACAAAAAAUAAAGACAAAUUGGCCUCUUGCUAUUGCUAACGGAACGUGUGGGGAGGUGAGAAGGAAGCGGGGUUUGGUUGACUGUGCAGGCAGGGUGCUCACCCCUAUUGCACUUUCAUUCCUCUGCCCUUGGCUGUAGCACCCUGGGGCAGGGACCUAACAGAGCCCUUGAAUUGGAUCUGGCCUGCUGCAGCCCUGACAGGAGACUGGACCCCACACAUUAAACCCUGGGUCAGCCCACAGCCCUCAGUGCUGGAGCAUCACAGAAGAAUCCACCCAGGUGUCAUGGGGAGCCCCAGCACACUCUGGAGGAUGGCAUCUGUCCACCAGGCUCCUGAACCAUCCAGAAGAUAUCAUCUUCUCAGCGUCUCUGCUGACAAGGAAGUUGAUUCUAGGGCAGGGGCUGGAGGGAGAGAGCCUUUUCUCUCCUCGCUCUCCUCCCUCUCCUGCUACUCCAGAGCUGCUUCUCCAGCCCAGUAGCUGAGAACUGUGUCUUAGAGAACAUGAGGCCUUGGCCAGCGUCAGAGGCACUGUUAUUGCAGCUAAGGACACAGCCUGCCUGGGAUCCAACCUCCCUUUCAUCGAGUUGUUUGUUCUUUUACUUCCUAGUGUCAGCAGUCCUGGGAACAGGAAAUGGUUUGUGCAAUAGGAAGUGUCAGAAAAAACGAUGACUGAAUACUUUUAAGCUGUGUGGAUAACAUUUCAAGGUGAGAAAAGAGGAGCACAGAUAGUUUAAGUGGCUUCUGGUAAGCAGCAAGGCCACCACCUGAUCCCCAGGCCUCCUUGGCUGGACCCUGGUGCAUGGCUACACACUCCUUGGGAGGAAUAUUUCAGGACUUUGCCUCACUGCUGGGGGCUUAUGGACAAUCUACCCAUGACAUCUGGGAAAAGCAGUUCUGCAGCUCUGAAAGAUGGCUAUGUUAUGGUGACAGGACCCAGUUGGGCUGUCUGGUCAAAUCUACGUGUGUCUUCAUGAAAUCCGACGUGGGACCAGUUGAAUGUUGAGAUAUGGUCACCUGAGGGAGAGGAGAAAAGUCGAGUCUGGCUGGCGGUCCACAGAGGUUAGGAACCUGGCACAGUACAAGCCUGCUGCCUCUGCCCACCAGUAGCCUGGCAGCCCAGAGAGGAACUGGAGGAGGCGGCGGCUUAUCACUGGCAUAUCAGCUGAUGGUAGAGCUAUGAGACUGUCUUUAAACUCCGUGUUCCAAGUCCUUUUUCUCUUUCCUGAUUUCACAAUUUGAGUUUAUUUUUUUAUUCCCUCCUAAUGCUGUUUGCUCCUCUGAUGGCUUCACCUGGACAGAGAACUGCUAGGUCCCUGGGCAAAGCCUCAUCCCACUAUCGGUCACAGUUUUAGCUUGCAAUUUCUUAUGAUAACUUAAUUCCAGGCUCACACUCUAAAUACAGGACACACAUUCUGGAACUGUUAGACAAAAAGUGUUACUCAUUUUACUGUGCAGCAUUUUAUUUCCAUCUAAAAACAAUGCUUACCAUCAAUGGAUAUUCAGAAUAAUACAGUAGAAUCAAUGCCAGGUAAUCAAGUUGGUGGCUCUUAAAGAUCUGUAAUAGGUUAUGAUAAAAUUUUACAGAUUGGCUUAGACAGAAUGAGUAGGAGCAAGUCAAUGCCGGCAUCAUCAAUGUUCCUUGCACAGCUCAGCAAAGAAACAAGAGUGGCCAUCUAGGUUUGGUGAGAGAGCACAGCAGAGGUACUUUGGUGUGAAAUAUGAAGUUUAUAAAAGGAUUAUUAAUCAUCUUUCAGCUCUGGCAAAAACCUCCUUUGUUAUUUGGGAGAAAAUAGAAAGUAACAAUAAAGGGUUUUAUAUUCCAUUGUGACAGGGCAAACAUGAUUUUCACUAACCUUUUUCUAUAUUUGGACUUAUGCCCAAAGAAUCUAUAUAUAUUUUAAGCAAAAGAUUAUCCCUUUUUAUUGCAAUUAGUAAAAAUAGUAACCCAUGUUUAAUGAACAUGAGGUGAAAUAAAAUAAUUUUCUAAGCAUGUAAAGAGGUUGAUGCAAAUACCGGUAAUAAUUGAAAAAGUUUUUAACAAUUGGUAGGAUCAGAGGAUCUUCCAGCCCUGGAGGGAACAGGGUGCUAGGAGUCAUGCCUCUGUCUGCUGGGUCUUGGGGACCGUCCAAGAGCUCUGGAAGAAAGGCUGGGAAGUGUGGCUCAGCAUAGCGACAGUUCAAGAGUGUUACGGAAAUCUUUCCAAAUGUAAAAACUGAUAAAUCUGUACUAGUUGAAUAUCAGGGCUGUGAAUUUUUUUUAAUCUUAUAUAUGGAUAGUAAUAAGUGAAAGUAAUUUGAAGAAAAUAUCAUCUCUAUACAAGCCCCUUUAAUGUUAAAAUAAGAAAUGCUUAUUUCUGACCUGCUGUGAAGUCUGGGAACUAUGAAUGCUCUGGACCAAUUGCCUCAAAUAAUAUGCUUCUUACUGAGCGAGAGGUCUCUCAUACUUUAAAAUAAUAAUACUUUUUUUUUCUUUUUGUGUGUGUGUUAUGUGUGUGGUACUGGAGAUAGAACCUGGGGACACUUUACCACUGAGUUGCAUCU